rnacentral:rRNA from 1 species
UACGUAGGGGGCAAGCGUUGUCCGGAAUUAUUGGGCGUAAAGCGCGCGCAGGCGGCUUUGUAAGUCUGGUGUUUAAACCCGAAGCUCAACUUCGGGUCGCAUUGGAAACUGCAAGGCUUGAGUGCAGAAGAGGAAAGUGGAAUUCCACGUGUAGCGGUGAAAUGCGUAGAGAUGUGGAGGAACACCAAUGGCGAAGGCAGCCUUCUGGGCCAACACUGACGCUCAUGCACGAAAGCGUGGGGAGCAAACAGG